rnacentral:hammerhead_ribozyme from 1 species
AUCCAGCUGACGAGUCCCAAAUAAGAUGAAACGCGUGUCCUGAAU